AAUGUACUUCCUCCGUUCGGAAUUACUUGUCGCGAAAACGGAUGUAUCUAAACGUAUUUUAGUUCUAGAUACAUCCAUUUCCGAGACAAGUAAUUCGAAACGGAGGGAGUAAGAU
rfam:Triticum aestivum genome assembly, contig: Triticum_aestivum_CS42_TGACv1_scaffold_328507_4BS